AGCAGCCGCGGUAAUUCCAGCUCCAAUAGCGUAUAUUAAAGUUGUUGCAGUUAAAAAGACUCGUAGUUGAACCUUAGGCCCGUGCGGGUGGUCCGUCCUCAGGGCGAGUACUGCCUCGUUGCGGGUCUCACCUUCUGGCGAGCGUGGAUGCCAUUUAUUUGGUGUCUGCGGGAACCAGGACCUUUACCUUGAAAAAUUAGAGUGCUCAAAGCGGGCUCUUGCGCUUGAAUACAUUAGCAUGGAAUAAUGAAAUAGGACGAUGGUUUUAUUUUGUUGGUUUCUGGGACCGUCGUAAUGAUUAAUAGGGAUAGUUGGGGGCAUUCGUAUUCAAUUGUCAGAGGUGAAAUUCUUGGAUUUAUUGAAGACGGACUACUG
rnacentral:rRNA from 1 species